rnacentral:rRNA from 1 species
ACGAACGCUGGCGGCGUGCUUAACACAUGCCAGUCGAACGGAAAGGCCCUGCUUUUGUGGGGUGCUCGAGUGGCGAACGGGUGAGUAACACGUGAGUAACCUGCCCUUGACUUUGGGAUAACUUCAGGAAACUGGGGCUAAUACCGGAUAGGAGCUCCUGCUGCAUGGUGGGGGUUGGAAAGUUUCGGCGGUUGGGGAUGGACUCGCGGCUUAUCAGCUUGUUGGUGGGGUAGUGGCUUACCAAGGCUUUGACGGGUAGCCGGCCUGAGAGGGUGACCGGCCACAUUGGGACUGAGAUACGGCCCAGACUCCUACGGGAGGCAGCAGUGGGGAAUAUUGCACAAUGGGCGGAAGCCUGAUGCAGCAACGCCGCGUGCGGGAUGACGGCCUUCGGGUUGUAAACCGCUUUCGCCUGUGACGAAGCGUGAGUGACGGUAAUGGGUAAGGAAGCACCGGCUAACUACGUG